rnacentral:lncRNA from 1 species
AAUGAGAUAGAAUGAAACUUAACCUAAGACAGUUGUUGUGGCAACGAGGAUAUAUUUGUAUGACAAGCCUGAUUCACUUAGAUUAUGACUCGGAACUUGCAUUGCCCGUGAGAUUAAUCGCGUAUUUGUAGUUUCGGAUGUUUUAGGCUCGUUUUGCUCUCAUAAGAAAAUGGCUGAAUUCAAAAGCUCGCUCGUACUCUGCAUGCUGCUCGAUCAUCGAACAGAUUUUGGAACUUUGCAUGCUGACAUUUUAGGCAAAACAAUGAUACAAGCAGAAAAAGGCCACAUCGCGACUCGUUGGGACUCGUAUAAGAAAUCAAAAUGUAUGAUUCGAGUUACAGCAUCGUUAGCUCAGCCCGACAGGAAUCCCGACAAGCAAUUCCAGCAAUUCAAGCAUUAAAAAA